rnacentral:rRNA from 1 species
ACGCUCGACACCUACUGGAGGCAGCAGUAGGGAAUCUUCCACAAUGGGCGCAAGCCUGAUGGAGCAACACCGCGUGAGUGAAGAAGGGUUUCGGCUCGUAAAGCUCUGUUGUUGGAGAAGAACGUGCGUGAGAGUAACUGUUCACGCAGUGACGGUAUCCAACCAGAAAGUCACGGCUAACUACGUGCCAGCACGCCGGUACGGUAAUCUAGGAGGCCGGGCGUGGACGAAGGC